CCAGGGGCGUCGUUGUUGAUGGGGUCCCAUGCAUCAGAGGAGGAGAGACAGUAGUGGCCCUGGGACACGUAUGUGUGAGGCCACACCUCUGCUGACGAGUGAUGCAAUAUCUGAUCUGCAACGACAAAGAGAUGAGCCACGCUGCCCUGGUUGGAUCCCAGUCGUUGGCUGUCUCCAUCCAUUGACGACCAGGCUAGGAGUGUUGCCUCUGAGAUUGCAAACUGCUGGAGGAUACCUGAGGGAAGGAUUUCAAGGUCGAGUCAGGGUCACCGUGAGGACCUUUGUGUAACCGGCGUUCACCCCAAGAAGUGAGUGCACCACCACCACCACCACCACCACUACUACUAUCAUCAGGAGAACCAAGAGUGACUAAGGUCGGGGCGGGGGUCAACCUGCCGUCUACUUCAAGCCCAGAUAACGGCAGCCUCUGUCACAACACAUCUCUCUAUCAGCAGGGCUGAAUCUAACAAUAGUGGGGCCAUGGGUGGGUUCCUGCUC